AUUAAACGCUGGCGGCAUGCCUUACACAUGCAAGUCGAACGGCAGCACGGGGGCAACCCUGGUGGCGAGUGGCGAACGGGUGAGUAAAGCAUCGGAACGUGCCCUGGAGUGGGGGAUAACGUAGCGAAAGUUACGCUAAUACCGCAUAUUCUGUGAGCAGGAAAGCAGGGGAUCGCAAGACCUUGCGCUCUGGGAGCGGCCGAUGUCGGAUUAGCUAGUUGGUGGGGUAAAGGCCUACCAAGGCGACGAUCCGUAGCGGGUCUGAGAGGAUGAUCCGCCAC
rnacentral:rRNA from 1 species